rnacentral:lncRNA from 1 species
CAGACAAGUACGCAGUUGCUAGUCACAACUUUCGCCUCCAAGCCAAGAAAUUAUCCAGAAACUUUAGCCUACAGAUACUUGCCUUUGACUUUCUCAGCUGAGACGAGCGAAGACGAGAGAUAGAUAGUGCGACUGAGCCUUCAUCCAGUAGCUGAUGGAAGCAGAAGCAGACACCCACAGCUAAACACUGAACUGAACUGGAAUCCAGUUGCAGAGAGGGAGGAGUGAUGAGCAAAGUGGUCAAGACCAAACUGGAGAAACCCACAGAAACAGCUGACCUGAACAAGGGGUUGCUCAUGGACCCCAGACUGAUAGCUGAGAAACCAGAAUAGGACUGUUCCAGACCCCUUGAACAUGAGUGUCAGUGAGGAGGCCUUGGAAAUCUAUGGGGCCUCUUGUAGUAUAUCAGUAUGUAUUCCUAGCAUACAAAUGGACUUUGGGAGCCCAAUCCACAUAGAGGGAUAUUCUCUCAGCCUAGACACACGGGAGAGAGCCUAGGCCCUGCUCCAAAUGAUAUGACAGAGUCUUAAGAUCCCCCAUGGAAGGCCUCACCCUCCCUGGGGAGCAGAAAGAGGAUGGGAUAGGGAGUUUGUGGGAGGCAGAGGAGGUGGGGAGGUAGAGGGAACUGGGAUUGACAUGUAAAACAAUCUUGUUUCUAAUUUAAAUAAAAA